ACCCCCUGUGGCCUAAUGGAUAAGGCACUGACCUCCUAAGGCAGGGAUUGUGGGUUCGAGUCCCACCGGGGGUA
rnacentral:tRNA from 1 species